ensembl:snoRNA LOC120094499 small nucleolar RNA SNORA17
UCUGCCCCUAGCAGCGUGGCUGCUGUGUCACAUGUGUGUCAGUAGGUGGCAGAGAGGAGAGAGGCUGUGUCUAUCUCAGGGUUCUGAUCUACGAACAUCUGAGUGAUUAGUAGCCUAACAUU